GUAGGGAAUAUUGGGCAAUGGAUGCAAGUCUGACCCAGCCAUGCCGCGUGGAGGAAGAAGGUCCUCUGGAUUGUAAACUCCUUUUUUGGGGGAAGAAUAGUUCUCUUGCGAGGGAAUGUGACGGUACCCUAAGAAUAAGCCACGGCUAACUACGUGCCAGCAGCCGCGGUAAUACGUAGGUGGCAAGCGUUGUCCGGAUUUAUUGGGUUUAAAGGGUGCGUAGGUGGUUUGAUAAGUCAGUGGUGAAAGCUGGUUGCUCAACAAUCAAGUUGCCAUUGAUACUGUCGGACUUGAGAGAAGUGGAGGUUCAUGGAAUGGAUGGUGUAGCGGUGAAAUGCAUAGAUAUCAUCCAGAACGUCGAUUGCGAAGGCAGUGGGCUGUACUUUAUCUGACACUGAGGCACGAAAGUGUGGGGAGCAAACAGGAUUAGAAACCCCUGUAGUCC
rnacentral:rRNA from 1 species